rnacentral:rRNA from 1 species
ACUUACGUUGAAAAGUGAGCGGAUGAACUGAGGGUAGCGGAGAAAUUCCAAUCGAACCUGGAGAUAGCUGGUUCUCUCCGAAAUAGCUUUAGGGCUAGCCUCAAGUGAUGAUUAUUGGAGGUAGAGCACUGUUUGGACGAGGGGCCCCUCUCGGGUUACCGAAUUCAGACAAACUCCGAAUGCCAAUUAAUUUAACUUGGGAGUCAGAACAUGGGUGAUAAGGUCCGUGUUCGAAAGGGAAACAGCCCAGACCACCAGCUAAGGUCCCAAAAUAUAUGUUAAGUGGAAAAGGAUGUGGCGUUGCCCAGACAACUAGGAUGUUGGCUUAGAAGCAGCCAUCAUUUAAAGAGUGCGUAAUAGCUCACUAGUCGAGUGACACUGCGCCGAAAAUGUACCGGGGCUAAACAUAUUACCGAAGCUGUGGAUUGUCCUUUGGACAAUGGUAGGAGAGCGUUCUAAGGGCGUUGAAGCAUGAUCGUAAGGACAUGUGGAGCGCUUAGAAGUGAGAAUGCCGGUGUGAGUAGCGAAAGACGGGUGAGAAUCCCGUCCACCGAUUGACUAAGGUUUCCAGAGGAAGGCUCGUCCGCUCUGGGUUAGUCGGGUCCUAAGCUGAGGCCGACAGGCGUAGGCGAUGGAUAACAGGUUGAUAUUCCUGUACCACCUAUAAUCGUUUUAAUCGAUGGGGGGACGCAGUAGGAUAGGCGAAGCGUGCGAUUGGAUUGCACGUCUAAGCAGUAAGGCUGAGUAUUAGGCAAAUCCGGUACUCGUUAAGGCUGAGC